rnacentral:rRNA from 1 species
GAUGAACGCUAGCGAUAGGCUUAACACAUGCAAGUCGAGGGGCAGCACAAGGUAGCUUGCUAUCUGGGUGGCGACCGGCGCACGGGUGCGUAACGCGUAUGCAACUUGCCCUAUACAGGAGGAUAACCCGUCGAAAGACGGACUAAUACUGCGUAUGCUCACAACUUGGCAUCAAGUGGUGAGGAAAGAAAUUCGGUAUAGGAUAGGCAUGCGUCCCAUUAGCUUGUUGGUGAGGUAACGGCUCACCAAGGCAACGAUGGGUAGGGGAACUGAGAGGUUUAUCCCCCACACUGGUACUGAGACACGGACCAGACUCCUACGGGAGGCGGCAGUGAGGAAUAUUGGUCAAUGGGCGCGAGCCUGAACCAGCCAAGUCGCGUGAAGGAUGACUGUCUUAUGGAUUGUAAACUUCUUUUAUACGGGAAUAACAAGAGUCACGUGUGACUCCCUGCAUGUACCGUAUGAAUAAGCAUCGGCUAACUCCGUG